rnacentral:lncRNA from 1 species
GACCCGAUGCUGUCAGAGAGCGUGCAUGAAGAAGAAAGUUAAUGGUAUUUCCAUUUAUAUAAGAAGCGCCUAAGAAAUGCCUGUGACGUUCGUGAACUAGUGAUUGUGAAUUCCAAAUUUGAUGCCAACUUUAUGUGUAAAGAAGCUAACUCCUGCCAACAUCGUGGCUGAAUGAACAGCUGGGACUAUGCUUAACCCAUUCCCAGCUUAUAAAAGCCCCAUGGCAGCUGCAGUGAAGCAUCA